rnacentral:rRNA from 1 species
UACGUAGGCAGCAAGCGUUGUUCGGAAUUACUGGGCGUAAAGAGUGUGUAGGCGGUGCUCCAAGUCUGGUGUGAAAUCUCCCGGCUUAACUGGGAGGGUGCGCCGAAAACUGGAAGGCUUGAGUAUGGGAGAGGUAAGCGGAAUUCCUGGUGUAGCGGUGAAAUGCGUAGAUAUCAGGAGGAACACCUGCGGUGUAGACGGCUUACUGGACCAUAACUGACGCUGAGGCACGAAAGCGUGGGUAGCAAACAGG